CCGACGGUGAGGGGCGAAGGCUGGGGGCGCAAACCGGAUUAAUACCCGGGUAGUCCCAGCAGUAAACGAUGCCAGCUAUGUGUUGCUGGAACCAUGGGUUCCAGCAGUGCCGAAGGGAAGCCGUGAAGCUGGCCACCUGGGAAGUACGGUCGCAAGGCUGAAACUUAAAGGAAUUGGCGGGGGAGUACCACAACCGGUGGAGCCUGCGGUUUAAUUGGAUACAACGCCGGGAAUCUUACCGGAGGGGACAGCAGUAUGAAGGCCAGGCUAAAGACCUUGCCAGAUCAGCUGAGAGGAGGUGCAUGGCCGUCGCCAGUUCGUACCGUGAGGCAUCCUGUUUAGUCAGGCAACGAUCGAGACCCGCAGUCUUAUUUGCCAGCAUGCCCUUUGGGGUGUAUGGGUACAAUAAGACGACCGCCAGCGCUAAGCUGGAGGAAGGAGCGGGCUACGGUAGGUCAGCAUGCCCCGAAUCCUCCGGGAUACACGCGGGCUACAAUGGUCAGGACAAAAGGUACCGACCUCGAAAGAGUGAGGUAAUCCACAAACCUGAUCUCAGUCCGGAUCGAAGGCUGCAACUCGCCUUCGUGAAGAUGGAAUCGGUAGUAAUCGUGACUCAGAAUGUCCCGGUGAAUAUGUCCCUGCUCCUUGCACACACCGCCCG
rnacentral:rRNA from 1 species